rnacentral:rRNA from 1 species
UAUGACUGAGUGGCGGACGGGUGAGUAACGCGUGGGUAACCUGCCUUGUACUGGGGGAUAGCAGCUGGAAACGGCUGGUAAUACCGCAUAAGCGCACAAUGUUGCAUGACAUGGUGUGAAAAACUCCGGUGGUAUAAGAUGGACCCGCGUCUGAUUAGCUAGUUGGUGAGAUAACAGCCCACCAAGGCGACGAUCAGUAGCCGACCUGANAGGGUGACCGGCCACAUUGGGACUGAGACACGGCCCAGACUCCUACGGGAGGCAGCAGUGGGGAAUAUUGCACAAUGGAGGAAACUCUGAUGCAGCGACGCCGCGUGAGUGAAGAAGUAAUUCGUUAUGUAAAGCUCUAUCAGCAGGGAAGAUAGUGACGGUACCUGACUAAGAAGCUCCGGCUAAAUACGUG